GGGGCUAUAGCUCAGUCGGUUAGAGCACUCGACUCAUAAUCGAGCGGUCCUGGGUUCAAGUCCCAGUGGCCCCA
rnacentral:tRNA from 1 species